ACGCGAAAGUCCCUUCGGGGGCAAGUAGAGUGGCGUCCGGGUGAGUAACACGUAGGUAAUCUACCUCCGGGUGGGGAAUAACUCGCCGAAAGGCGAGCUAAUACCGCAUAAUGCAGCGGCACCUAAUGGUGAUUAGUUGUUAAAGCGGGGGAUCGCAAGACCUCGCGCUUGGAGAGGAGCCUGCGGCCGAUUAGCUAGUUGGUGAGGUAAUGGCUCACCAAGGCUGCGAUCGGUAGCUGGUCUGAGAGGACGGCCAGCCACACUGGCACUGAAAUACGGGCCAGACUCCUACGGGAGGCAGCAGUGGGGAAUUUUGGGCAAUGGGCGAAAGCCUGAUCCAGCAACGCCGCGUGAGGGAGGAAAUCCUUCGGGAUGUAAACCUCGCAAGCAGGGGAAGAGCGCUUCCGGUCUAAUAAAUCGGAAGUCCGACGGUACCCUGCGUAAGCCACGGCUAACUACGUGCCAGCAGCCGCGGUAAUACGUAGGUGGCAAGCGUUGUUCGGAAUUAUUGGGCGUAAAG
rnacentral:rRNA from 1 species